GUUACUUUGGCAGAUUAGUGUAGUAAAUUUAGAAUUUAUUUAUGUAAAUUUUUUACAGGUAAUA
rnacentral:tRNA from 1 species